UCCUUGGUGGUCCAGUGUUAGCACUCUGUACUCUCACUGCUGAGGUCCUGGGUUCAAUUCCUGGUCAGGGAA
rnacentral:tRNA from 1 species